rnacentral:rRNA from 1 species
UGGGGAAUUUUGGACAAUGGGCGCAAGCCUGAUCCAGCCAUUCCGCGUGCAGGAUGAAGGCCCUCGGGUUGUAAACUGCUUUUGUACGGAACGAAAAGGCUCUGGUUAAUACCCGGGGCUCAUGACGGUACCGUAAGAAUAAGCACCGGCUAACUACGUGCCAGCAGCCGCGGUAAUACGUAGGGUGCAAGCGUUAAUCGGAAUUACUGGGCGUAAAGCGUGCGCAGGCGGUUAUGUAAGACAGGUGUGAAAUCCCCGGGCUUAACCUGGGAACUGCAUUUGUGACUGCAUAGCUAGAGUACGGUAGAGGGGGAUGGAAUUCCGCGUGUAGCAGUGAAAUGCGUAGAUAUGCGGAGGAACACCGAUGGCGAAGGCAAUCCCCUGGACCUGUACUGACGCUCAUGCACGAAAGCGUGGGGAGCAAACAGGAUUAGAUACCCUGGUAGUCCACGCCCUAAACGAUGUCAACUGGCUGUUGGUCCUUCACUGGAUCAGUAACGAAGCUAACGCGUGAAGUUGACCGCCUGGGGAGUACGGCCGCAAGGUUGA